rnacentral:rRNA from 2 species
UGGCUCAGGACGAACGCUGGCGGCGUGCUUAACACAUGCAAGUCGAACGAUGAAGCCCUUCGGGGUGGAUUAGUGGCGAACGGGUGAGUAACACGUGGGCAAUCUGCCCUUCACUCUGGGACAAGCCCUGGAAACGGGGUCUAAUACCGGAUACCAUCCCUGCCCGCAUGGGCGGGGGUUGAAAGCUCCGGCGGUGAAGGAUGAGCCCGCGGCCUAUCAGCUUGUUGGUGGGGUAAUGGCCUACCAAGGCGACGACGGGUAGCCGGCCUGAGAGGGCGACCGGCCACACUGGGACUGAGACACGGCCCAGACUCCUACGGGAGGCAGCAGUGGGGAAUAUUGCACAAUGGGCGAAAGCCUGAUGCAGCGACGCCGCGUGAGGGAUGACGGCCUUCGGGUUGUAAACCUCUUUCAGCAG